UUUUUUUUUUUUUUUCUUUUGACAGAAACAGAGAGAAAGAGAGUACACAAGAGCACACAAAGCAGUGUGAAGUAACAGAGGGAGAAGCAGGUUCCUCACUGAGCGAGAUGUUGGGCUCAGGGCUUAAUCCCAGAACCCUGGGAUCAUGACCUGAGCAGAAGGCAGACGCUUAAAUGACUGAGCCACCCAGACUCAAGUUUAGUUUCUGAUAAGAGCUCUCUUUCUGGCUUGCAGAUAACCACUUUGUCCUUAACAUCAUGGAAAGAGUAAGUUCUCCAGUGUUUCUUCUUAUAAGGACACUAACACUAUCCAAUUAGGGGUACCACCCUUAUGACUUCAUUUAACUUAAUUACCUCUGAAACGUCCUUUCUCCAAAUGAAAUACUUUAGGAAUUAGGGCUUCAAUGUAUGAAUAUGGAGGCGAGAAGGCACACAAUUCAGUCCAUAGCAGUAAGGUUGUAAUACAGAAGCAAAUAAGGCACAUGAAUAUUCUCUUUUACUUCAAAGGGAUUUUAAAAGUUCAUAUUCUGAAAAAUGAACACAAUAUUUUCCUAAAUUCUAUGAGCAAUAAAUCUCAAAUUCAGCAAAAAUUACACCCUGUUGAUAACCGAGCUCACAUGUCAUCACAGACAGAUUUAGGUGGUGAGACUACAAUGGUGAACAAGACAGGUUCCUGUCCUGUUUCAUGAAGCUUACAUCCUAGAGUGAUGAGAUGGUAAAUUAACAUAUAAUCACAUCAAUUAAAGAACAUCUGAUAGUGAUAACUGGUAUGAAGAAAAGAUGAUACUGUAAUGGAGACAAUGCCAUGGGGAUACUGCAGAUGGUGUGGUUUAGGACAUCAGGAGGUCAUAACGUGACAAAGAGGAGACCAUGUGAAGAGCAUCUCAAGCACAAAUAAUAGCAAAUAAAUUUUUAAAAAUGAGAGGUUGCUUUCAUUUAUUAUUGCAUUAAAAUAAUUAUUCACAAAUAAGAAAACCUACAUCAAACACCAACACACUUGUGUAUAGAAUCAGCAAUUCAGAAAUUUCUCCUGAUUGUCACUAAUAAUCCUAAAAAUAAAUUAUUAUUUGAAAGAAUUUUAAUUAAGCUGUUCUUUCUUGCCCACCACUGCAUCUUGUAGUUGGACCAAGAAAAGAAUUAGUUCCUCUCUGCAAUGUACCUGGAUUGACACGCAUGUAAUCAGUAUACCCAGUAUAGAUAUCUAUAACUACAGAAAUUUGGGGACUGUUUGAAAAAGGGUUUAAAGCACAGAUUUAUUAAAACAGAGACUAUCCAUAUUCUACAAUUUGCCUCCCUCUACACAAACAUGAGCCUCAGCUCUUGACUCAAUCUCACACAUUUCUCCUGUUGGAAGUCUUCAUUAAUGUUUGGCCAUUCUCAUUUAAAUGUUUCGCUUAAAAUGUCUAGUAGGGAAAUUAAAUUUCAGGAUGGGUUUGUGACAGCAAGUAGGAAAUAGAAAACCUUAAUAAUCAAAUCUGGACUUGAUUUGUAAGUUAAAACGACUGAAUCUUGCAUUCCCUUUGGUAAGUGCCUGAGGAGAGCAGAAAUCUUGAAAAGGCUCUCCAGAUGCCCUGGGCUAAGAACAACCAGGUGAUUAUGAGUUACACAUGUUUCACAUUUGCUAAUAAAAAGGUGAAAAUCACCCUAGUUGGCAUUAUUCUUAUUUGAGGCAUUUAAAGCACCAAUGAAGGAUUAAAAUUAAGCCAUGAGUAAAUAAAAAAGACAAGAAUUAGAAGCAUGCCCUACGUUAAUGGGAGCAUACUUACACAUUAUAGUGCAAAGAGAUACAAAAUAUUCAGUACCUUCACUGGCAGUCCCAUUAGGAAAUAUAUGGCCAUUUUAAUUAAAUGGCCAGGUCAGGGGUGCCUGACUGAACUCAGUUGGUGGAACAUGUGACUCUUGAUCUCAGGGUUGUGGGUUUGUGCCCCAUGUAGAGAUUACUUAAAAAUAAAAUCUUUUAAAAAGUGGUUAAAAAGUAGCCAGGUCAAUAUUAGAGCAAAGGAAUCCAACUUGUUUGCCUCUCAAAGACAACAUAAAAUAAGGACAAAUUUGUUAUUCCUUACCCUUCAUUAUAUAUGUUCUCAGAUAUCUUCCCGCUCAAGCUCUGUGAGUCUUCAGAAUCCUUAUAAAAUAGACAAAGCAAAGGCUAGACUACCAUCCUCCUUCAAGUAGGACUGCUAAUUCAGAAAGACAAAAAGUUCCUGCACAGGUACUCUUUCUAGAACUAUAUUUCCCAAAUUAAAACCUUAUAAUCAUGAUUUCAGAACAGCAUGGCUGAGACAGCUUUCUCUACCAUCUCCCAAAGGAAAAUGUUCUUGCAUGUUAUCAUUCUCCCCAGUAAGUAUUUCAGAUAAAAUUACCUUCUCAUACAUUUACUUCAUAACAGGAGUCUGGAGUAGGGAAUAUAUCAAAUAGUGAGUUGGAGUAUUGACAUCCAAAGUUGAAAUUCACUCGAAAAUAUAAAUCUAGGUGAAAUGUAUUUAAACUUUUAAGUAUUAUUUUGAGAUGGAGAGAAUCACUUUCUAUUUCUUAACCCAUGACAGUAAUUUUCAUCUUGAAAUUGCUGUCAAACAAUUUUUCAUAAACUCUCAUUUCCUACAAAAUGAAAUUACAACUCAUUAGCACCACUUGGUAAUUUUGCCACACAAAACUUUCUAGAUUCAUCUACCCUUAAACCCCAAUGGCCUUUUCCCUUUUCUCAUCUCUCAGUAUGGUGCUACUUGAAUUUUUCCAACCACAUGUUUUCAUACCAAUAUAUCUUUACUCGUGUUGCCUCCCUUGCCUAUAAUGUUCUUUCUUUUCUCUGUCUUAUUCUCCUAAGUGCUUCUCUAAAAUUUAAACAUUCUUUGUCUUCUAGAACCAGAUAAGAUGUUUCCUCUUUGAUUCUCCUAAUAAGAAGUAGCCAUUUCUAUCAUAUACCUUUAUUACAGCACAGUGUGAUUUAUGCAAGAGUUAUUUGUGCAUGCUUUCCUCCUCCCUUGAUAAACUACAUAUUCAUCUGUGUAACCUCAUAGAGGCAAUGACACUACACUAUACCCGUCAUGAAGUAGGGAGCUGAUAUUCAUUGAAUUGAACUGGCUUGGACAAUGUUAACAAUUUCUUUUGGCAUCUAGCUUGACCAUAAAAGCAAUGGUUACCACACAGAAGAGACUCAAUAGUACUGUUCAGGGAAAGGAAAUGUAGACAACAACCAUUCAUACUUUUUAUAAGUAAUCACAAAUCUUGUGCUGGAGAAUCAAACUAGGGCAGGUUGAGCUUGGGGUGCCUGAAAAUAAGUUCUGAAGACAGAGUAUGACCACAAUUAAAAGGCUCCGUCUAGAGUAAGCAAGACUCAGUCAUCAAUCAACCACUACACUUUCUUGUCAAUUAAUGAAACCUGAUGGCAACAACACUUGGUUACAUUUGUGAAGGGAGAAUUGAUUUUGAUUGACUCAGACUCUCUGCUGUGUCACAAACGUAGUUGGAUAACUAAUUGAAUGACUAGCCUCUCAUUGGAAAGCUCUGGACCUUUCACCUAAGCUACAUCAUUAGUCAAGUGCCCAUAUUGAGAAGAGAAUCUUGCUCUGAAUUGAUAGAACUGUAGCUAUGUUAUGAUGCAGCAUAGUCUAGUAAAAGAACACUAGUCAAAAAAGUAAGAAGUUGGGUUCUAAUCCUAGGUCAGCCCAGAUUAAUUUGGGACCCCUAAGAGCAGGUUAAUAAACUUUGUCUCAGACACAUUACUCCUUGGAUUUUGACUCAGCUACUUACUAGCUCUCAGACCUCCCACAGAAGUAAUUUAGUUCUAUGAGGCUCACUGUCUUCAUUUGUAGGAUAGGGAUAAUGAAAGUCCUUUAGGAAUCAAGGUUUAAUUGAGAUGCUAUCAGGAAAAAGUAUGCCAUAGUGCCCAGGAUAAAGGCCCUGAAGGUUGAUCUAAAUAAAUGUUCAGUAAAUAUUUAUUUCCACUAUUACCUACCUUAAUCUUUCAGCUUCUUCAUCCAUUCAUGU
rnacentral:lncRNA from 1 species